rnacentral:rRNA from 1 species
CCAAUAGCGUAUAUUAAAGUUGUUGCAGUUAAAAAGCUCGUAGUUGAAUUUCGGGAUCAAUAUGUCGGUCGUGCCUUCGGUACGUACUGGUAUCAUUGGUUUCUCCUUUCUGACGAACCAUGAUGUCAUUAGUUUGGUGUUAUGGGGAGUUAGGACUGUUACUUUGAAAAAAUUAGAGUGUUUAAAGCAAGCUAACGCUUGAAUACAUUAGCAUGGAAUAAUGAAAUAGGACGUUCGAUCCUAUUUUGUUGGUUUCUAGGAUUGACGUAAUGAUUAAUAGGGAUAGUUGGGGGCAUUAGUAUUCAAUUGUCAGAGGUGAAAUUCUUGGAUUUAUUGAAGACUAACUACUGCGAAAGCAUUUGCCAAGGAUGUUUUCAUUAAUCAAGAACGAAAGUUAGGGGAUCGAAGACGAUCAGAUACCGUCGUAGUCUUAACCAUAAACUAUGCCGACUAGGGAUCGGAUGAUGUUAAUUUUUUAAUGACUCAUUCGGCGCCUUACG